UCCCGCUUGGCCCAGUGGUAAGGCGUCUCACUCGUAAUGAGAAGAUCAGUUGUUCGAAUCAGCUAGUGGGAA
rnacentral:tRNA from 2 species